rnacentral:rRNA from 1 species
UACGAAGGGGGCUAGCGUUGCUCGGAAUUACUGGGCGUAAAGCGCACGUAGGCGGCUUUCUAAGUCGGGGGUGAAAUCCUGGAGCUCAACUCCAGAACUGCCUCGAUACUGGAGAGCUCGAGUCCGGGAGAGGUGAGUGGAACUGCGAGUGUAGAGGUGAAAUUCGUAGAUAUUCGCAAGAACACCAGUGGCGAAGGCGGCUCACUGGCCCGGUACUGACGCUGAGGUGCGAAAGCGUGGGGAGCAAACAGG